CUUUUUUCUUUUUUUUUUUUUUUUUUUUUGGGUACAGGGAAGGGAAAACAAGAGUGUUUCCUAACUGUUAUCCUCUUUCAUCUCCUCCUUCACCUCUGAUCCUUCUUCUAAAUAUUUUUAGAUGGUCUACCCAGACCCCCAGGUAUUAUUAUACAACUUCAGUUUUGAUAGGCCUCUGUUAAGGGCUGAGGCUUUAUCUAUAACUGAGUGGUAUAAAGCUCAGUGUUGUCAUUGCAAAAUUAUAAGUAUACAAUGGUUAAUCUCUAUAAAGGACUCGGCUGGUAAAAUGAAAAUCCCAAGAUAUCCCAAAGUGCUUUUGAACCACAGCAAAACCUCUGGUUCUGAAAUCCAAGAGUAAAAUUAUUUCAUCCUCCAAGACUUCCCAUAGUGCACAGGGAUUAAAAUUGAAAACUGGAAUUGCACUUUAUAAUAUUGAAAAAUGUUAUAAUAUGAAACAAAAAAAUUUUUCACACUCUAUCCAAAACUGACAGCCCUCAUGUUUGAGGUUGUAGUAUCACAUGGAAAUCUAUUAUAAUUUAUGCCAAUGUAGUUAAAUUUAGUGCUUAUUUCUCUGUCACACAGGUUGAUCAAAAAUUAUGUUCUCUUUUCCCCUCGAUUCCUCUUUAUAAUAGAAGUUUUGAAAAUUGACAUGAAAUCACAAGCUGAAAUCUCCUAAAAUGUGCCAGCUACUCCUGAAAAUGCAACAAACCUUCAACCCCAUCCCUCAUCUUCCCCUAUUAAAAAGUCAAACACAUUUUUGAUGGAAAAAAAGUAGCUACAGUUUUCUAGUGCAUAAUACUCCCAUUUUUAGCAAGAAGCAUAGUAUAGUGAGGAUUACGCUACAAAGCUAAGCAUGACGUGUAAAUACAGCACAUUGAGACACAGAAUCUUUUGUACUAUUUGUAGAGAUCCUUUGGAUCUAAUUUGUAUAAGAAAGGAGAGACUCUCUUUAAUUAUAUGCAGCAAAAGCAUAUUUAACUUGAAGACGCACAAUGUCUUCUUAAAAAUCUGUUGAAAACAGAGAGCCCUUUGCAGGCAGUGAAGAUGACAACUCAUCUUCUUUGUACUUUUUAAUAUUGUCCAAAUCCAAAUAAUCCAAAUCUGAAACCUUUAAAAGUACUGGCAUUGCAAUCUCAACCUUGGUGAAGGGUGUGGCCAAAAUACAGCAAAAAAUGAAGUUGUUUCCUUUUUUAUUCUUUGGCAUACUAUGAAAAGGCUAAUUGCUCUAACUUUCCCCUACCCCCCCUGUUAUUAUUUAAAAGAAAUUGCCAAAGAAAGGUAACCUAACAAAAAACUUGACUCAGUUUGUCACAGAUGUACGUUUGGGGCUAAAAAGGGCAAUGGCACUUCACAUAUGCUCACUGAAGAAAGGAACAUUUGGAGUUUGGACACCUUACUAGAAGGGUUUUGUGAUUAGAAAAAAAAAAUUUAUAUUCAGUAUUAAAACAGUAGAGUCUAGCAAGACAUAUAUAUAUAUAUAUAUAUAUAUAUAUAUAUAUAUAUAUAUAUAUAUAUAUAUAUAUAUUUUCCCCCUCUACUUCUAUAUGAUAUGGCAAAUAUUCUUAUAGUAAAGGCAAGAAAAUGAAAGAUUCAAUGACCAGCUUCCUGCAAUUAUGCAUUUUUUUCAAUCUAAAGACAACACUGUGUCAGUGAAAGGUCUUGUUUGAGCAGCUGGAGACUUGAAGAUUUACAUUUUUAGGCAGUGUAAAAUAGUUGGCUAAUAAGAACAACUCAGAAAAUGAAGAGAAAAUUUAAUCUGAAGCUUAUUCAAAUACUCAACCUCUAUUUAAUUGCAGCCCAGCUAAGAUCCUUAAGAGUGCUCUACCCGUCCGGUUGUUGCAGGUUACUUUACUAAUCACUCCCCAUAUUGAAUUAAGUUGACACUGUAUCUGCAAUUAAAAAUAAAUGUGACAGUGCAAGGAAGCAAGUGGAUCUUAUUCAACAAAAACAAGCAAUGAUUCAUUUGUAAUCUUUUGUAUCCAGGCACAUCACCUUUACUGUAGUGAGAUGUGCUACUCAGUCAAGCUUCUGUUGACAUGUUUUGACAAAAUUUAUUUCUUCAGGUUGUUUGCUUGAUCCUAGAGAGCAAAAGAUAGAGCCCUGCUGUUUUAUACACUGUAUGAGCUCCUAAUAAGGAACAGCGUCUUUUCCCUGGAGGACUUAAAUUAAAAGAGACAUGACAGAGGAUAGGAACAACAAUAAAUGCAAAGACAAAAGUUGAAGGGCAUUGUUUUCAGAGAAUGUUUGGGUACUAGAAACUUUCAGGGGCCAGUUCUUUUGGUUGUCUGGAAGAGGACAUUGGAGUCUGGUGCAAAUAUCAAUCCUGGAUAAGGAGACAGGACCAGAUGGGUUUGACAUAUCUCCUGGCUCCAAAUGAGCUCAGGCAUUUGUACCUCAGAGCCCCCUCUGGUGCAGCCAUUGAUUAGAAAUCACUCCCAAGCUCUGAAGUCACUUUGUUGCUUUUGGAAGCCUUAAAAAAAAAAUAAUGCAGAAGGCUGAGUAUGAACUUUUGUAAAUGAAACUGGGGGUGGUGAAUGGUAUUUGGUAGGGCUGAGCUGCAAAACACACAGCAUGCAGGCUUGGGGCUCUAUUUGUGGCUCAGACAGGCUUCUCCAGAGGUCAGGUUUUCUAUUCUCUAACAAAAGUACAAAAUUCCCUUCUAGAGUCACCAUUGGUGACUGAAGAGUUUUGAUUUAAAGGACAUAAACCAAAAAAUAAAAUCAUCGUGGAUCAAACUGAAACUAAUAUAUCUGGCUAGUUUAAUGGCCAGGUCUUGGCACCCUAGCUGGAUCAGAUGGUUUUGUGAAAAAUAUUUGUGUUGUUAACCUACUUCUGUGUGGGUCUUGAGUUGAAAUGGUGAUGCUUCCAGGAAAUAAGCAGCUGUGUACGAGAACAACCACUAAUGCAAGCCCAGAUAUUGAUAUGCAGCCAACUGAGCCAGUCUGUUUCCUUCUCCAGAAAAAAAGUACAAAAUGUGUUGACUUGAUAUCUUGGGAAGACAAGAAAAACAAAGAAAAGAAAAAAAACCCAAGAAAAACAACAACAACAAAAAAAGCUGGACUCACACCAACUCAGCCUUCAACCUACAAGCCAAGUCCAGGCUUGGCCUCAACCUUACUGCAAGACAGAGAUGAAUGGAACAACUCCCUCUCCAGAGAACCCUACCAGCACAUAUCACAAUAGUACCAGCUGAACUGCAGAUGCUUUGUAGCAAGUAGCCUUUAAGGACCCGGGAAACCAGCCCACUGCCUUAUUGAGCUAUUACCUCCUAUACAAACAUUACAUUUACUAUCCAUAUCCCUGCCAGAGGCACUGCAGUUUCAUUCUGGCUUACCAGACACAAUGAUUGCUGCUCCCCUCUCGAUCCUUUUCAAUUUUUGUGCUCCCCUGUCUCACUGUUCCUGUUGUCCUCAGGAGGGAUGGAAUCAUGCUGCUCCAAAGCCCACUGCUGUCUACAGAUCAGUGCGAAACUAUAGGCACACGUUUCCAUUUGGCCACUUUUGUCUGCUAUAGAUGACUGAAACCAGAUUAACUUCGUUCCUACAAGAAACUUUAGACUUUGGGGAAGCAAAAGCAUUCCCACCUUUAGUCUAAAAUUACAGCAAAUAUGGCUUUAUACACUCAUUGCAAAGCUACACUAAACAUCGUGCCUUUUUAGCUGCUGCAAGAACAGCAAAUAAAAAUGCAGCUUGCAUGUUAUAAUUUUCAAUACAGUAGUUGCUGGCUCAGGCAAAGCAAGUGGGGGGGGGGCAGAAAACCCUGAAGGAUUCUGGGUAUUUUUUCCCUUUUACCUCAUUAAGCUUUGCUUCCAAUUACAUUUUAAUGAUGCUUGAUGUCUUCUGUAUGCUAGCAUUUACUGCAGUCUCUUUAAAUUUAAUCGUCUUGAUAAUGGGUUACUCUGACACUGCAAAUUAGGGGCUGAAAGAAACCUUUUGCCACAUCCAGGAAAAGCUGUAAGUCCAGUCCGCAGCCUGUUGCUACUCAGCAAGAAAUAGCAGCCUGGCAUUGUAGUGUUCCUCCCGUCUCAUGGCUUCCUGCUUCCUAAAUGGUGAAUUAAGAUGAACUAAUCACACAAGGGGGAUAGGGGGAAGAAAAAAAAAUAAAGGUUAACUUCUGGAAUGUUGUUUUCUACCAGUGUGUUUGAAGCCACUUUGGGGUAUGGGGCACCACUUUGAGCAGUUUGUUUUCCCCAGUUUUCUCCACACUCAUUGGGAGCUCUAAUGGUUGGCUUCUUGCUGUAACUGGGAGCUAAAGGGAGUUUAUGGAUUUACUUUUGAAGAUAGCCUUACCUUUUUCCAGCACCUCUCAUCCUCAUACAACAGGCAUCUAGAUAGUAUCCACGCAAGCUGUAAACUCACAGCCUCAUGUGGAAAGAUUAAGAGUGUAAAAUUAGAGGUUCAUCACCCACAUAUUUUCACACUUGCUUGUGCUGUAUUUUAGAUUCUGCUUUUGCUAUUGGUUUAUAUGACUUCCCAUCUUCAAAACAUCUAAUCACCUAGCAACCACUGGGUCAAAACCCUUCCUACGAGCUGAACAUUUUCAAAUCCCUUCUUAUUCUAGGAGCACAAUAAACAGGAAAAAAUCUACAGGAAAAGAAAAGGACAGAGACAACGAGAGAGAACAUUUGGAAAGAAGGAAAAAAAAAACAACAACAACAAAAAAAAAAAAACCAACAAAAACCCAAUUGCUGCCAGUCAUAAGUAAAUUCAGUGGUGUAGUGGGAUUUAGGUCAGGUCAGGUUCUGCUGAGAUCUAGUGCCUCCCCUUCCUUAGAAUUUAAACUGUUUAUUUAAAAAGUAACCCAGAGCAAAAAAAAAUAAAAAAAAAUAAAAAAAAA
ensembl:lncRNA